UAAGGAAUAUUGGACAAUGGACGCAAGUCUGAUCCAGCCAUGCCGCGUGAAGGAUGAAUGCCCUCUGGGUUGUAAACUUCUUUUAUAGGGGAAGAAAGAUACUUUUUUUAAGGUAGUUGACGGUACCCUAUGAAUAAGCACCGGCUAACUCCGUGCCAGCAGCCGCGGUAAUACGGAGGGUGCAAGCGUUAUCCGGAUUUACUGGGUUUAAAGGGUGCGUAGGCGGGCAUGUAAGUCAGUGGUGAAAUACCGGAGCUUAACUUCGGAACUGCCAUUGNUACUAUAUGUCUUGAAUAUUGUGGAGGUAAGCGGAAUAUGUCAUGUAGCGGUGAAAUGCAUAGAUAUGACAUAGAACACCGAUUGCGGAGGCAGCUUGCUACGCAAAUAUUGACGCUGAGGCACGAAAGCGUGGGGAUCAAACA
rnacentral:rRNA from 1 species